UGACAUAUUAGUAUUUUCAAAAACAUUUUUAGACCAUAUAAGACACCUAAAACAAUUAUUUGAAGCCAUAAAAAAUGAAGGCCUAAAACUCAAAUUUUCUAAAUGUAUGUUUGCAGCACAAUCAGUCAAAUACUUGGGUCAUAUAAUACAAAAUAACUCAGUCAAACCAUUGAAGGAUAAUUUGAUAUCAAUACAAAAUUUCCCAAUUCCAAAAACACAGAAACAGAUGCCAGUAUACAGGGACUGGGAGCAGUCUUGAAGCAGCCACAAGACAAUAAUGAAGAAAAACCUGUUGCAUACUUCUCUAAAAAGCUAAAUGAAGU